AUUAACUUGCUGCCGGUCCCAAGCCCGGAUAAAGGAGGAGGGUUGUACGAGGUGAAAACCAACAUUACAUUUGGUCACAUCCGUGAGCAUGAAUCAUUAUCAUAUUUCAGUGGAGUUAUGCUUUAAUCAUCGAUGCACUACAAUAUACAGACCUAGUCUAGUGGAAACAUGGAAAGGAUGUAACGUUAAUCCCUUGAAGUGACAUGUUCCACCCUUGUUUAGUAAUUUAAGUGUAGUGGUAAAUUAGGAAGAGUUUAUAAGUCUAGGUCAUAGGUCGUAGUCAAAAUGGACUUGCGGUGGGCAUUUUGUGGUAUAGAGUGUAUUCAUAGUGUUUGAAAGGAAUCAUCUCGGAUUGUGCAUAUUUGUAUGAGUUGAUCUUAGUUGACACAUAGUUCAGAAAAGUGGGAAUAUACGUUUGAUGACUUAGAAAUGAAGCAGACAGACAACCAAGACUUGUAUAAACGACAUAUACUGAUAAUUCAGAUGUAGUAGAUGAAAGAGAGAAAGAAAAGAAGAAAAGGUCAUGCAUGCAAUUAGAAGUACGUAGACAAAUGUUCGAAAAGGUCAUGCAUGCAUUUUGGCUUUCUGUUACUGUAUAAAACAGGAAUCCUUCACUCUAUCAUAUUUUUUGGGCCAGACUUCGAAGUACAUUUAUCUUAAGACUAUUGUGUGAGUUGGUUAUUUUUGGGAUAAGCUGAUGAUUUGUUGUUUAGAGUACUUGUGGCGUGCAAGCAGGAUAUUCAGGAGAGGUACUUUUGGAGCUGAGCCACUUGGAUCCUGUAAGUUUACUCUUUCUUAUUUGUAGGAUUAGCCUUAGCAUGUAUCUUUUGGCAGGAAGACUGCUAAAAUCUGAGCUUUGUUGCAUUAUAAGCUUGCUUGUCUAGCGUUUUGUUUUGUGUAUGGGUUAUGCCUCAGGAGUCAGGGCUCAGGUGCAUGAUUAUCUCACACCUUGUUGUAUUCUCCUAGGGAUGUUAGACAAAAGGUUCAGGUUUUAUGCGUUAAUGUAUUCUUAGUAAUUUUUUAUGGUUAUGUGUACUUUGUCGUUCUCCCCUUGUUUGGCAAAUGAUGUUUUAGUAUAGGUGCAAUAUUCUGCUUCAGCUUCGAGUUGAUAAUGUUCUUUUGAAAUUGUUGUGGUGCAUUUAAUGGGGGCUAAUGUCCUGAUCAUAAAUGUGGUUUGUUGGCCUUGGCUGCUCAUGGUAUGUGGUACAUUUAAUGGGGUAAUAUCCUGAUCAUAAAUGUGGGUUCUAUUGGCCUUGGCUCCUCGUGGUAUGUUAAACGGGUUUGAACUCUUGAUUGUAAAUGUGGUUCCAUUGGCUGUGGCUCCUCAUGCUGUCGUGCGUGCAUGACAUCUUUAUUUGGGUCCUUUUUCUGGUUGAAUCGUGUUGUCACAGGCUUUUGUCAAUAGUUGUGUUGUGCGAUAUAUUAGUAUCAUGGUGUCUGUACUCGAGUGAGAAAUGCCGCUGCUGAUGGAUCCUGCGCAAACCAGAUCCAGCAGAUUAAAUUGAGCAUCUCCUUGCAUCUAAAUGGGGAUGAACUCUGGAUCGUAAAUGUGGUCCGAUUGGCCGUGGCUCCUCAUGCUGUCGUGCAUGCAUGACAUCUUUAUGAGUCCUUGUUCUGCUUGAAUUGAGCUGUCACAGACUUAUGUCAAUAGCAGUGUUGUGCGAUAUAUUAGUAUGCUGGUGUGCGGUGGAGGAGAUCUGUUCGAGUGAGAAAUGCCGCUGCAGAAUAAAUAGAGCAGCUCCUUGCAUCCUCGGCUUGGCUUCAGGUUCAUGUCAGUUAUAGUUGACUGGGUUUUUACUGUUGUGUCUAUUAUUCAAUGUUCUGUUCUCCACUUGUGAUAUUGUGUUGCUUGUUUGGUGGAGGUUCUGAGGAGAUAUCUACGGUGCUGAUGGAUUUCUGUUCUUCUCUGUUGCGACUCUGUACUGCUGCAAUUUGUUAUUUGUAGUAUGAUCAGUCUAGUGUGUUGGCCACAAGAUAACGGCUGAUAGAUAUUGUGUGAUUUAGGAGGGAGUGGUCACCCAUCGUUUCAUUGGAAAUCUACUGUAGUAUACUCUGGUAUGGAACCCCGUAUAAAUCUGAUUAUGGUACUGUCAAGACUUUGUCGUUUGAUCUUUUCUGUUCUAGUUCUUGGCAGAUAGUUUCGUGUGAAGGUUCGUGCUGUAAAAUUGUGGCUGUCAAUAAAUCUGCAUUUGUGAUUUUUAACUCUGAUUGGCUUGUUGGUUUUUAGAUUGCUGAGACACGUGUCGCGUGGUAUCCAUGGACUGAUCGACAUGCAAAGGUUCAAUGGAUUACAACUUAUAGGGCUCUACUACAUAUACAUAUAUAAAAUAUAUAUGCAUACGUAUACAUACAUACAUAUAUAUAUAGUGCAACUUUUUCGUUUAUAUUCCAAGUUUAUCCUUCUUAUGCUUCAGGGUGAUGUCGAUUACAUCACUGGAUUUAUAUGGGUGAUGCCGAUUACAUACUGGAUGUUUUAUGGUUUAUUAUUUUGGCAUCUUGUUUCUGCUUUAAGCUUCGUCUUUAUCUUAUUAUUGAUCAGAUCUCAUCGGUUAGCCUAUCAAUGUGCUGUGAUUCUGGCAAUAUUCUUCCCUUCUAUACUUCAGCUGAUACUUCAGCAGAGAUUGUAAUGGCAUGGUGGUGGUGUCAUAGAUGCUUAGUAAGUUGGUAUAGGGGCUCUGCUUAUGAAUUUCACUUUUUUUGUAUGUUCGAAAUUUGUGACAUAUUUAGGUCUUUCACGUGACUGUUCUGGGUUGGAUGUUCGGGAUGUUUCCACUGCUUCAGGUUCUUCUUCUCUCUGUCUAUCUCUAGAGGGAUUCUUUUUUGAAUGUGGAUUGCGGAGUUGAGUUUGGUUUGGUCGGAGAAAAUAGGAUUGUUCUUUGUACUGUUUUUUUUGGUUGCAAAUCUAUGCCCCUUGAUUUUUGAGAAGUAAGGCAUUAUGUAGGACUAUAGCUCAAUUCUGCUAAUGCAGGCUCUCGUCAUUCAUCAAUAGCUGGUUCUGGUCGAAGAUGUUAUUCCCCUUGUGCUCAUCUAUGGGUCUUUCUCAGAGUUGGGAGUGCACAUCAUGUCAAAUUUCUUACCCCUUCUCCUGAAGCAUGGUUUCUUUUGGUUUUACUUGCUGCUAAUAUAUUGACCUACAACCUACAUGGUCUAGAAAUAUGAUGUAGUGGUAGUUAGGGGUGCUAGGUGAAUUUGUUUUGGGUUGGUGGUUUAGGGAUCUUGAUAGAAGGUGCCUGUAAGUGUAGCCUGUAGGAGGUGUCUUUAAUACCUGUAUUCUUCAUAGAUCUGUUUCGCUUGCAGAUUAUUGGUGUUUCUCCGCUGGGUGAUAUGUGAUAUUGAAAUAAGCGGUGGCUUACCUUGAGAAUAUAAGGGUGUUUGUGAUUUAUAUUUAUAAUUUUUUUGUUUGCCUUGCAACUUCUAGUUGGUGACAUGGUAUACUUUCUAGUUGAUGCUGUGAUGCGUUGUACUCUGUAUGGUAGAGAAGCUUUAAGCAAUCUUAUACCGUGAUUUGAAGAGCCCUCGAUCUCUUUUGACAUUUUAGUGGCAAGAUGAUGGAGUUUGAGAGGUCUUGUACAAAUUUUAGAGGGAGUCGUCUGUCCAUCAUGUUGUUUUUUGGAGAUAUGCACUAUUUUUUUAGAAGAACUUAAGCUUUUCAGUUGAUCUCCAUGCUUUUCCCUCUGCUAAGUUCAUCUCAAUGCUUUUGGUUCUAGAUCUCUGAGGUGGUCUGCUACAAUAUCCUUUGACAUAAAGAGUGGCGAUACAGAGCUUCCGCAAUGAUGAAUAAGGGAAUGUUGUGAUGUAUUAUGCUUGUAUUAUAUCUGGCGUAAUAUUUUAUCGUGUGUAUCUUAAGUUUAUCCUUCUCUUCAGGUUCAGGUUCAGGUUCAUGAUCAUCUUGUGUGUAACUUAUUGUGUGCAUCAAGUUGUAGAUUAUUAGAUGGUUAUAAUUUGGGAGAUUAUUUUUCCAAGCACAUAACGAGUGUUCACGUCUGUCUGUGCUUCUGUGGUUUGCCUUGGAAUUUUGUCUGCUGUAUUUUCACUUUUUUUUUUUCUUGUUUGAUCAUACUUGUAGCUUGUGUGUUGGGAUGGUCUGAGGAGAUAUAGUUACUUGAUCAUAUCGUUGUGCUUGCUGCUUCUUUUUUUUUUUUUUGGGGGGGGGGGAUUGGCAGUAGUGGUUGUAAGGCGUUCUCUUUGUUCUGCGUAAUUUUGAAGUUUGGAAGUCCUUGAAUAUGGGUUGUAGCUAUCAAUUUGGUAACUUCUUUCUCUUUGUUCUGCAUAAUUUUGAAUUUUGGAAGUCAUUGACUAUGGAUUAUAGCUAUCCAGUUGGUAAUUUCUUGCAUAUUUUGGGUUUGUGUUUGCUAUAGCCGAUUUUGCAAGGAUUGAUAAUCAUGACUGUUCUACUGUUUACUGUUUCAUGUUAAUUUUCUCCUCAGGUCGCAUCAGAAGAUUUUGUUGGUUGAUUUUCUGGUUGUCCUGUGGGUACACUAAGCAGCUUUCAGCAUGCUGGUCACAGUGUGUUAGGUUCAAUUGGCACACUUCAGGCUCAUGCUUUCAUCUGGUGGUUCUUGGUAUUACUUUCCGUACUUUUUCGCUAUUAAGUUGAGUUUUUAAGCUUGUUAUCUCUGUAUCAUCCUUGUAUUGUGUGUCCGGUAGUACCUUUGAGUUUGAAGGCAUAAUGUUAGCCUCUUCUGAUUUAAGAUGGAGCUCUUUCGUGCUUUGGUACUCCAACAAUUAUUUUCAUCUUUGUGAUUGGUUUUUAACUUGCUCUUAGCUGAUUUUGCGAAUCUCUGGCUUCUAGGUUCUUCGGGUAAUAUUUUCUGGUAUUUUGGUUUACUUUCUCCCACACUGGUAAAUACACCUCUACUAUUUCAAUGGUUAGAUCAGGCAGAAAUCUGAUAGGCAACAGGAUGGUUAGUUAGCUUUAUGUAGUUUUCUUGAUGCCAAACUCCUUCACUGCAAUGGGAUUUUAUCUUCUUGGCGUCAAUUUUAUGCUGAUGGGUUGACAGAGGUGAUUGAGAGGCUUGUAGUGUAAAGAAACUGCUUAUUCAUUUAGGUCCCAUUCUUUUGAUUUACUUUCAGUUAAGUUCAUUUCAGUUCAGUUCAAGUUCAUUAAGUUUAUUUCAAGUUAAUUUCAGUUCAGUUAUUGUUAUUAUUAUUAUUUUCACUAUUAUUGUUAUUAUUAUUAUUGUUAUUAUUCUUAAUAUUGUUAUUCUUAUUAUUUAUUAUUUAUUAUUAUUAUUAUUUAUUGUUGUUAUUAUUAUUUAUUAUUAUUAUCAUUAUUAAUAAUUAUUAUUAUUAUUAUUGUUGUUAUUUAUUUAUUGUUUAUUAUUUAUUAUUUAUUAGUGUUUUUACCUUAUUAUUAUUGAUUAUUAUUUAAUUAUUUUUAUCAGUGUUUAAUUUUUUAUUAUUAUUGUUGUUAUUAUUUUUAUUAUUAUUAUUAUCAGGUAAUUUCAGUUCAGUUCAAUUAUUUUCAGUUUAGUAAAUUUUGGUUUAGCCCAAAUAAGUUCAAAAGAACAGGGUCUUAUUAUAUAUAGAGGCUUAUAGUGAGAAUUUUUUUUUUAGCAUUAACAUUUAUUUUCUGGUAGAUCUUUGACCGAACGUUUCUGCAGAUUCGUAAUAUGCUGAAUCAGUAGUUGUAGUUUUAGCUUGACAAUCCGGUUCAUCUUAAUUAUAAUUUGGUAGUUGAAGUAGCUAAAUUGGUUCUUGGGUCAAAUUUGUUUAAUCAAGUGACGAAGUUACUAGUUGAAGUUGCUAAAUUGGUUCUUGGGUCAAAUUUGUUUAAUCAAGUGACGAAGUUGAGUAAUAUUGUGCUUAUUCAUGCUAAUUUUAAUCUCAACACAUCCUGUAGAUUCUGGGACUUUAUAUCUUCACGCUUUGGCUUGUCAUCGGAUUCAUGCACUCACAAGUUUGUUGUAGUUGUCUGUUAAUUUGAGCAGAGUAUUUGAAGAUUUUGGUUCAUCCAUAUCUUAGUUUGUUUUAGGAAUGACUAUAACGGUAAGCAUAGGCAAAAAUCUUAAAGGUUAUUGGUUAUGUGUUGUGUUUGCCUUUGAGUACUGGAGACGUUUUUGUUGUAGUUUUCUCUUGAUUGACAUUUUGACUUGGGACAAGAUCAUGAAUAUUUUCUGCUUAAUGGGGCCACAAUUGCUUCAGUGCUGUUUAUCGUUUUGCCAACAUAUGCUUGGGGUUGGUUGUUUAGUAGGUUGUACAAACCUGGAAUAUGCUUUGUGGCUCUUUAGCACUAUAGAAAUGCCUUUCAAUGUUGUCUUUUGGUUGAUCUGGUGAUGGUUUGAGUGAUAUCAUUCAUAUCUUCUUGGUUUUUGGGCUUUAAGUUGGCGCAAAGUAUGAUGUUAUCUCAUAUAGUUGUGAUUUGGCGGUAUUUGUGAAGAUGUCUUGCGUGCGCAAGUUGUUUCGGGAGAGUUCUAGGCUUGCAUUUGACUAGUGGCAACUAGAUACAGAUACAAAGUAAUGUGUGGUAUUGUUUCAUGUAUCAGGACAACUGAGCAGUUUUCCUGAGUUCUCUUUUUUUUUGGAUGGAGGUAUUCUAUCUCUUACAUAGAAAAUAAGUUUCUUGAUAAUUUGAAUCUCAAUUGUGUUCAUGUCGGAAGGAGCGUCCGUGUAGUCGUCUUAUUUUUAGUACAGUAACGUUUUCUCACGGCAUUUCUAUCGUAUCUUUUUGGUGGUCUUUUAUCUUCUGUCAUUCGUUGGUGCAAUGUGUUCCUUAUGGAGGGUAUAGAAUAGUUAACUGCAAUUUGGCUAUGGCUUGUGCUGAUGUUUUUUGGAAAACCACAGUGCUGAAGAGAUCUGACAAAUCUGCCUAAUCACAGGGCAUUUUGUUUCACAAUUUUAUCUUUCGAAGAUCAGAAAGAUCUGUUGUGGCUUGUCUGGUAGAUCUCAGACUUCAGUCUUCUAUUUUGGCAAACGAUUAGUAAUUCAUUAAAAUAAAUUACGAGUAACCUAAAAUAAUAAAAUAAAUCAAUUCUUGCAGAUAAAAAUAAAAUAUAUAUGUCCAUUAUCAACAACAAAUAGAUUAGAGAUUAUAAUAAUAUAAUAAAUCUUCAAAAUGAACAUAUAAAUAGAUUAAAUAUAAAGUAUAAUGCUCUUUUUGUUUCAAGAUACUCUUUAUACUUUCACUUUCAAUCUAUUUACUCUUUCUACUUAUGUCUUUGAAUAUAACUCAUUAUUUUUAUCUUUCUGCCUUUUAACUAUUGACCUAUAUUUUCUUCUCUCCAAACAAAGAACACACGAAAAAUUUCAACACCAACUGAGAAAAGCCGCAAACUACUAUUGCAGUCUACAAACUAGUAUGUCACAUUGGCGGGGUCAGUUAAUUUUCUACUUAUCUUUGUAAAUUUGAUAAACCACCUCACAGGUUACACAUAUAGUGUUUUGGCCUAGAUUCAUGAACAUGUAGGGAAAAUUUCUUCAACCUAUGCACGAAAGACAUAAACGGGUUGGGUCCGAUUCUUCCCUGCGUUGCGUAACGGACAGCUGAAUCUGAAUUGACAGUCCGAAAUUGAAUGUCUAAUGACUUCAAACAGAGAGAAUUAAAAGAGAUCAUAAUUGUUUAUUCUAAUGAUCAUAUUAGAAGAGAGAUCAUAAUUAUAACACUAUAGGUUCAGCAUAUUAAUUGAGGUCCUUAUAGGCUUGCAUUUGACUAGUUGCGACUAGAUAGAGAUACAAAGUAAUGUGUGGUAUUGCUUCAUGAUCAGGACAACUGAGCAGUUUUCUUGAGUUCUCUUGUUUCUUGAUAUUUUGAAUCUUAGUUGUGUUCAUGUUGGAAGGAGCGUCCACGUAGUCGUCUUAUUUCUAGUGCAAGUAUGUUUUCUCACGGAAUUUCUAUCUAUCUUUUUCGUGGUCUUUUAUCUUCUGUUGUUCGUUGGUGCAAUGUGUUCUUUAUGGAUGGUAUAGGGUAGUUAAGUGCAAUGUAGCUAUGGCUUGUGCUGAUGUUUUUGAAAAACCACCCACACACAGUGCUGAAGAGAUAUGACAGUUCUGCUUAAUCAUAUGGCAUUUUGUUUCAUAUUUAUCUUUUGAAGAUCAGAAAGAUCUGUUGUGGCUUGUCUGAUAGAUUUCAGACUCCAGUCUCAUGACCCACACACAGUGCUGAAGAGAUAUGACAUAUCUUCUUAAUCAUAUGGCAUUUUGUUUCAUAUUUUAUCUUCUGAAGAUCAGAAAGAUCUGUUGUGGCUUGUCUGGUAGAUUUCAGACUCCAGUCUCAUGCUGGGUUAUUAACAUGCACGAGGUUGCAUUGAGCUCUACAUGUGGUUGAUAAAUUAGACUUCAGUCAUAAUGGUUGCAUUGAGCUCUCUACAUGCUGGUUUAUUAAUCUUUGCUAUAGGCUCGCUUUCUACUAAUUUAUGACCUUAAAUUUUGUGAUACUGAGGUUUGCGGAUAUUCGUCUAGUUCAGGUUUAUGGCUAUGCUCUAAUCAGAUUUUAUGAGCAUGUUUCUUUUAAUGUGGAUAUACUUCCGGUUGUCUUUGAUUUGUAUUUAGCAUUUUGUAGCUUCAACAUCGUCCAUUUCUUUGGCGUAAGUUGCUGUUUCAACAUCACCCUUCUGGUCAUAAAGAGAUGUCCUUCACCUGCUCAACAGCACGUGCAGUCAUGUUUCAUCUGACCCAACAUCAUGCGUUUUCAUCUUUUAGAAUCACGUCUACUAUCUUCCAGCUUCUGCUUGUAUGGGUUAGCAAUAUCUUCUUCUGUGGAAUUGAUUUAAUUGGAAGUGCUAGUGUGUGUGUGUUUCUUUUCUAUGGGUUCGUAGUCUCUUGUUUUAAGAGAGAACCUAUUUGUGAUGUCCUUUGAAAUAUAUGUAAUGAUAAUUGUAAUGUCUAUAUUUGUAAUUGUAAUGUCUAUAUUUGUCAUGAUAA